rnacentral:rRNA from 1 species
CCUACGGGAGGCAGCAGUGGGGGAUAUUGCACAAUGGAGGGAACUCUGAUGCAGCGACGCCGCGUGAGGGAAGAAGGUUUUCGGAUUGUAAACCUCUGUCUUCGGUGACGAAACGAGACGGUAGCCGAGGAGGAAGCUCCGGCUAACUACGUGCCAGCAGCCGCGGUAAUACGUAGGGAGCGAGCGUUGUCCGGAAUUACUGGGUGUAAAGGGAGCGUAGGCGGGGAUGCAAGUUGGGUGUCAAAACUACCGGCUCAACUGGUAGUCGCACUCAAAACUGCAGCUCUUGAGUGAAGUAGAGGCAGGCGGAAUUCCUAGUGUAGCGGUGAAAUGCGUAGAUAUUAGGAGGAACACCAGUGGCGAAGGCGGCCUGCUGGGCUUUUACUGACGCUGAGGCUCGAAAGUGUGGGGAGCAAACAGGAUUAGAUACCCGGGUAGUC